GCCGCUACCCAAACACUCAAGUUCAACAGCAUCUGCCAUACCUCAUGAGAGAUGUCUGAGGCCCGCAGGAUUCACUUCAGACCAAGGGAGGCCAGUUUUGCCCUUCGAGUAUCUCUUACUUGGAUAGCGUGAGUUUCAGGAUCAAAACUUACUUUCUGGUGCCAGGAAAGCUGUGGCUGGACUCCUCUUUCUGGUAGCUGGGCGCCUGCUUGGCACGGAACACUCUCUUUAGAACGCUCUCUUUAAGAAACUUGGAGAUGAUCUUCUCCCUUUGAACGUUGCUGAACACCUUGCCAUCUGGAAGCCAGCUGAUCUUGUCACAUCCACCAUGGCAGAGGGGAAGGUGCUCCGGAGACACAACAGCCUUCUUUGGAACAAAAAGACAAAGAAAAAGGACUUGAAGGACAUGUCUGUUACCCAAAAGUCAGGAAUAAGAGACCAACCUAACUAGAAAAACAACCCAGGUCUUGCUGCUGCUAUGCUGUGGGAUCAAUUUAGUUAAUAACACUGCUGGCGCCUGAGUGGCCCGGCCGGCCCUUCUUAGCAACUCAUUGUCACUAUAAGGAAAGCAUCGCAGGCUUCAGGCUUUGGAGGAAUCUUUCUCACCUUUCCUGGCGAGAAAAUGGUACUCUCACAAAUGCCACUUUGAAAAGGCACAUAUAUUUAUUGCUCAUUGAAGUCUAGACAUGGACAUAUGCAGACUGGAAAAGCAAGAUAUAAAACGGAAGGAUGGGUUUCAUCCAGGAACAUGGGGGUGGCUGGCUGCUGUCCAGAUCACACAGGUCUCCCUUCUCCACCCUCAACUCCUGUCCCUUAACAGUGUUCUCUCCACACCAUCAGCAGAGGAAGUGAAUGAGAUGGGUUCCUUGAGGAAGUGCUACCCACUGCAAAAUCAGAUGAUUUAUUUAAAACUAAAAUGGAAUCAUUCUGGGGCCUCCCUGUUAGCGCAAGGGGUUGAGACACAGCCUGUGAAGCUGUCCACAGCCUCUGUAGUACGAGUUCGAUCCCCGGCUGGCCAGGAAACAAUCCACAUGGCGCAGCAGACCUCUCCUGUCUCGUCCGCUGCUCCCCUCAACAGUGUACUUUCAUUGAUCUGCCUGUUGUUCCCCGUUCUGUCUCUGGUGAAUCAUCUCACCCUCCCGCCUCCCUCACCCUACACACACCCCUCUGGCCUGUACCCCUGCUCUUGUAUGCGUAAAUAAAUAAAUCUUUUUUAAAAAGGUAAUCAUUCUGGCUUGCUUCAGAUUUCAACCAAGGACCAUAAACUUCAGAGAACUAGCUAAAAAAAUUCCAUCAACUGCUAUUUAGAGUAAUGACUGAGAAACAUAGGUGGAUUACAGUGUGUGGAGAACCACCUUUUAAUAGCUGAUUUCCUUGGCCUGUGGACCAAGGAACACAUAGUUUGCUCUUUCCUAGUUGGGUCCUAUAAGGAUUUAAACUCCUAAACUCAAGGUGCUUGGAUGGAAGUAGCCUCUGGCUAUGAGAACAUUCUACCCCAACCCUCCCACCAAUCCCUUUCUCUCUGAAAAUCUCCUGAGAUGUUGAGAACCACAUUAUAUUUAAGAGGUCUGGGUAGUUCUACAACUUAUU